rnacentral:rRNA from 1 species
UACAGAGGGUGCGAGCGUUGUUCGGAAUUAUUGGGCGUAAAGGGCGCGUAGGCGGUGCGGUAGUCACCUGUGAAAUCUCCUGGCUCAACUGGGAGCUUGCAGGCGAAACUGCCGUGCUGGAGUGUGGGAGAGGUGCGUGGAAUUCCUGGUGUAGCGGUGAAAUGCGUAGAUAUCAGGAGGAACACCUGUGGCGAAAGCGGCGCACUGGACCACAACUGACGCUGAGGCGCGAAAGCUAGGGGAGCAAACAGG